rnacentral:rRNA from 1 species
AUGACGCCGCAGCCCAACUCAAGUGUUAAGUUCAGCGUGGAGGCAGCCCUGCAGGAGCUGCAGAGCAGCGGGUUGCACUCGGACGACGUCGGGAUCGGGGCUGCGGAAGCCUGGAAGGCCUACCUCAUGGCUAAGAAGGCCAAGCUGGACGAGACCCUGGCUGCAGCCCGCCAGUUCAGAGCACUGCUUCGGCAGCAGCUCCAGAAAGCCUUCGCGUCACAGUCUUUUUUAGAGGAGGCCCCGGCGGCGUCGAGCUGCUGUUGCUGCGGGCACAGCGACGUCGGCGUGGUUGGGAUGGUCGCAGCCCUUCAAGAUUCUCAACGGCGGCGUCUCGGCGCUGAUGGCGGAGUCGAUGGCGAGCAUCGGCGGGUACAGGACCCUUGUAGGAGACCAUCCUCAAGAUGGACGAGAAGAUGA